GGGGGAGCAAGGUUUCGACAUUGGUUUGGGUGGUGGUCUGACAUGCCGGACAUCCUAUCCGUUAAGGACAAAGCAAUUGCAGACUACAACAGUUUUGCAUUUGCGGCUAAUGAUGGCAGUAUAGCAUUAGCUCAGAGAGCAAGAAAGUAGAGGGGCUUUGAGAUUAGCUGUGGGAAUGUUAGUAUCACCCAAAUGCCAGUAGACCCAACCACCAUAAAAGAAGAGAGAAGAUAACAGAAAUAGAUUGCCGGUCUUAAAAGUUGGAAAAGAAUUAAGCAUGUGAGAAGACCAUCAACCAACCAAAUGGACGUGGGUUCGAAUCCCACCUCCUCCAAAA
rfam:Candidatus Tremblaya phenacola PAVE, complete genome.